rnacentral:rRNA from 1 species
GUCUGGCCUGCUCACUGAUAAUUUCAAGAGCUGCGGUAUUCUGACCGUACAAAGGUAGCAUAAUAAUUAGUUUUUUAAUUGAAAACUUGUAUGAAUGGUUGGACAAAACAAAAGCUGUCUCUGCUAUAGAAAUUGAAUUUAACUUUUAAGUGAAAAGGCUUAAAUUAUUCAAUGGGACGAUAAGACCCUAUAAGCUUUAUAUUUUAAUAAAUUAAUUAUUUUAAAAAUUAAAUUAAAUAUUUUAUUAAUUGAAAUAUUUGGCUGGGGCGGCAUGUUUAAAAUUUUUGUUAACUUUUCUAAAUUAAAUCACUUUUAUGUGUAAAUAAUAGAUCCUUUUUCAAGAUUUAAAGAUAAGUUACUUUAGGGAUAACAGCGUUAUUUUUUUUGAGAGCCCGUAUCGAAAAAGAAGAUUGCGACCUCGAUGUUGAAUUAAAAUUUCUAUAUAGUGCAGCAGCUUUAUAAGAAGGUCUGUUCGACC